UUGCUUUGGCAGCACAUAUAAUAAAAUUACAACUAUACAGAGAAGAUUAGCAUGGCACCUGCACAAGGAUGACACACAAAUUUGUGAAGCAUUCUGUAUUUAU